UUAAUGGGUGAUGGCGUGCCUUUUGUAGAAUGAACCGGCGAGUUACGAUCUGAUGCAAGGUUAAGCAGAAAAUGUGGAGCCGUAGCGAAAGCGAGUCUGAAUAGGGCGAAUGAGUAUUUGGUCGUAGACCCGAAACCAGGUGAUCUACCCUUGGUCAGGUUGAAGUUCAGGUAACACUGAAUGGAGGACCGAACCGACUUACGUUGAAAAGUGAGCGGAUGAACUGAGGGUAGCGGAGAAAUUCCAAUCGAACUUGGAGAUAGCUGGUUCUCUCCGAAAUAGCUUUAGGGCUAGCCUCAAGUGAUGAUUAUUGGAGGUAGAGCACUGUUUGGACGAGGGGCCCCUCUCGGGUUACCGAAUUCAGACAAACUCCGAAUGCCAAAUAAUUUAACUUGGGAGUCAGAAUGUGGGUGAUAAGGUCCAUAUUCGAAAGGGAAACAGCCCAGACCACCAGCUAAGGUCCCAAAAUAUAUGUUAAGUGGAAAAGGAUGUGGCGUUGCCCAGACAACUAGGAUGUUGGCUUAGAAGCAGCCAUCAUUUAAAGAGUGCGUAAUAGCUCACUAGUCGAGUGACACUGCGCCGAAAAUGUACCGGGGCUAAACAUAU
rnacentral:rRNA from 1 species